rnacentral:rRNA from 1 species
GAUGAACGCUGGCGGCGUGCCUAAUACAUGCAAGUCGAGCGAACAGACGAGGAGCUUGCUUCUCUGAUGUUAGCGGCGGACGGGUGAGUAACACGUGGAUAACCUACCUAUAAGACUGGGAUAACUUCGGGAAACCGGAGCUAAUACCGGAUGAUAUUUUGAACCGCAUGGUUCAAAAGUGAAAGACGGUCUUGCUGUCACUUAUAGAUGGAUCCGCGCUGCAUUAGCUAGUUGGUAAGGUAACGGCUUACCAAGGCAACGAUGCGUAGCCGACCUGAGAGGGUGAUCGGCCACACUGGAACUGAGACACGGUCCAGACUCCUACGGGAGGCAGCAGUAGGGAAUCUUCCGCAAUGGGCGAAAGCCUGACGGAGCAACGCCGCGUGAGUGAUGAAGGUCUUCGGAUCGUAAAACUCUGUUAUUAGGGAAGAACAUAUGUGUAAGUAACUGUGCACAUCUUGACGGUACCUAAUCAGAAAGCCACGGCUAACUACGUG